CAAAAAAUUGAAUUGCAUUUUUAAAACAUACAAAAGGGCGGCCUUAGGUCUGUAAAUAAGGUACAAAAUAGUGACUGAGGUCUAUAUUAAUGACCGUGUGGGUAUCAUGCGUGCGUUCAAAAAUGAUUUGGGAGUUUUAUGGUAAUGGCGAAUCACAAAGUGUGACGGCAUUGAAUACGUCUAAGUCUUUGUGGGCUUUCAGUGAUUUAUAUGGGCGCUGUGUUUAAGUUUCCCACAGAUGGAGUGACCAGCAGUGGCUGUGUUGGAGUUUGUGGUGUGGGCUUUCAAGAGGAAUGCCUUAACAUUUCCAGCAAAUUUCGCAAAACAUUGAUGUUGAUAUUAUCGUCACCAGCUCAUUACUCCAAAUGGGGGCGUGUUUGCCGAUACCGCUUUAUGAUUGGCCACUACUUUAAUGGUCAAGAGUAAGAGUAGCUGCCACACGGGUACCUUCCUCUCUAUGGGGUGUCAUUGAUUUUUAUGGCAUGAUCAUUAAGGCUGUAACAACAAAUUUAUUGUUGCUGCUGUUUGCGCUAAAUACACUUGACAUCAACAAUGUUUUAUA